UUGCUAUGAUGAUACUCAGUUUAUUGAUGGCAUUCGUAGAGUGCUUAUGAUACUUCGGCAUUCAUGUCGAAUCUGAGCGGUUACCUGAGCAA
rnacentral:snoRNA from 1 species